rnacentral:rRNA from 1 species
AUGACCAUUUCCUCCAAGUUGGAUGAUCACACCAAAUACCUGGCGGAGAAGGUUGCAUAUUUUCCACAUUUGUUCAAGCCGCAUAGCAGAAGAUUCCUUGACCUGAAACUAAAGAUGGAGCUUGUGUGGCUAUUGGCUGCUGUACUACAACAGUUGUUGAGCUUUGAUCAUGUCCUGCCAUCACAUCCUCAAUUUUUGGGCCAUGUAAGAUUGCAUUCGCCACCAGGUAUACCUGCGAUGGUUGACAAAAAUUUCUACCAAACAGGGCAUCAUUCCGUGCUUCCCAAAGGCACCACAAGAAAGACAAUACACUAG